rnacentral:lncRNA from 1 species
UUUCGGUGGGGAGGAGGGAGUGGAGAUGGAGUGCCUACUUUAUUAUUAUUUUUAUCCCUCAGCUUUGCGGGUGGUGGAGAGAAUAUCAAGACCUAGGCUCCCCUGAUCUCCCUGCAUCCCCGUCGUUUUUGGCAAUGUCGCUAAUCGGCCCAGCAGCCUGAAUCCACACGUCCCAGCGUCCAGGUUCUGCAAGGUGCAGCUGGUCUCGGGCCCUGUCUCAGGGAAAGGAAGCUAAUUUUCGGCUCUCUGGUGUCUUGGAUCACCCUGAGGAAGAAACUAGAAGAGAAGUUGUAGAGGAUGGUAGUCACAGCAAAUAUCUCUCCUGGAAGAGGACCUGCAAACUGUGAUGGUCCUAUAAAGAGUUGUGGACUAUCUCAAGAGCAAUGGGGAGUCACAAAUGUUUUACAGAGAAAAGUGACAGGACCAGGUUGGUAUGUUUCAAAGAUGGACUUGGUGCAAUGUGAAGAGUGAAUUAGAGAAAGGCCAGGAGUAAAUUUGGGGGACCAGAAAGGAGGUUAUUUAGUUGGCUAGGCUGAGUGUGAUAGUAAAUUUUAUGUGUCAACUUGACUGGGCCAUGGGGUACUCAGAUAUCUUGUUUAACAUUUUUUUCUGGGUGCGUCUGUAAGUGUUUCCGGAGGAGUUAGCAUUUGAAUUGCUAGACUGAGUAAAGCACAUGGCCCUACCCAAUUUGUGUGAGCAUCUUCUAAUCUGUUCAGGAAAAAGGGUGAACUCACUCUCUGCCUGACUACUUCAGCUCAAAUAUCAGUCUGUCCUCAGUGAUCUCAGCUCUUGGGCCUUCAAACUCAGAGUAGAAUCUACACCAUUUGCUCUCUGGCUCUCAGGCCCUCAAACUACCUACUGGAUUUCCUGGGUGUGUCGCUCACAGCCAGCCAAUCAUGGGACUUCUCGGUCUCCCUA